GGAGAGGUGCCUGAGCGGUUGAAAGGGGCACCCUGCUAAGGUGUUAACGAGGAAACUCGUUCGAGGGUUCGAAUCCCUCCCUCUCCGCCA
rnacentral:tRNA from 1 species